AUCUUGUGGUGUCGCGGGAGUUGGCUUCGGCUUUCGGAGAAUAAAAGCUUUGGACUUGUUCGCGGAGCAGCACCGCCGCGUAGGCUACCAACCGCCGUCAGCAGCCUUAGGCAGGUACACGACCGGGUAACUGGCAGCUCUUAGAUUGUUCUGGACUGUUGUAUGGUGAACUCGUACACUGAGUGAUGCCCGAAAGAAACAGCAACUGGGACCGGAUGAAGUCUUUGGCAUCGAUGGAGGUCCAAAAGUUCCUACUUGGUCUUUUGAGAGUGUCUGGGAAGAUGAUUUUAAGCGAGCCAGUUUAGUCAGACAUGGAAGUCAGUGGCAGAUACUCCCAUCACUCGUCAAGCCUUUCGAUGACCUAAGAAGAAAAAGGAGAAGAGACAUACAUAAGGGAAAAGCCAAAAUAUAUGCAGGACUUGAUAGUUAAUCAGGCUCAGUAAAAGGAUACAUAGCUUCAUUUCAACUCGUCUCAAUUUGUCUCUUUAACACUUUGGUUUGGCUGUGAUUGGAAAUGAAGUAUAAGGUGUAUAGUGUUUGUUUAUUGACAAGAUGAUAGAAGCACUAUUUUCUUGGUAGAACUUUGUAUCUUUGAAACCUAUCAUGAGGGACAAUUCUGCUCUACCUUAGAACAUCUCAAUUAAGACUCAUGAUAGGCUCAAACAAACAGAGACUAUAUUGAGCUCAUGGAUUAGCUACUCGUUCAUGUAUUUUUCGAAACAAAAAUUAUGCAGAAAAUUGUUCCAAUUCAUAUACAGGUGAAGAAUUUAAGCAUCCGAGCAAAUUCUGAUA